GAUGUGUACAUAUUUUAAUUAAAAAUCAUUUUAUUAAAUUAAAUAAAAUUACAUUUAAAUCCAAUUUCAAAUAAAUAUUACAGUUUAUUAUCCAAAAAUAAUUUUAUUGUAAUCCAUUAUAUUCUUAAAUAUAAACUACAUCUUGAUCUGAUUUAAUUUUUUUUAAAAAUUUUAAAAUAUUAAAUUUCAUAAAAAAUAUUUUUUUAACAACGAUAUAUAAAUUUUUAAUUUAAGUAAAUUAAUUCGUGGAUUAUCAAUUAUUAAACAGAUUCCUCUAAAUUUACUAAAAUACCGCCAAAUCAUUUAAAUUUCAAUAAAUAAUUAUUUACUAAUUU
rnacentral:rRNA from 1 species